UCCGCAGGGGGCCUGGCAAGUCUGCCGUGAAAUUCCAGGGCUCAACCCCUGGACGUGCGUUGGAAACUGCCGGGCUUGAGUUUAUGAUGGGCAGACGGAACACCUGGUGUAGCGGUGGAAUGCGUGGAUAUCAGGUGGAACCCCCGAUGGCGAAGGCGGUCUGCUGGCAUAAUACUGACCCUCAGGGACGAAAGCGUGGGUAGCAAACA
rnacentral:rRNA from 1 species